CAUGUGGGUGUGGUCACAGUCUAUUUUCCUGAUGUCGGUGUCCGCAGCAGGUGUGUUGGGAGGUGCUGAAAAAUGGCCGGGGCUUCAAACAAGCCAAACGGAAGUGUGACGAAUUGGUACGAACCAUACAGAGUGGAGAAGGCCGUUUUUGUCUUUGGACUCUGCAGACAAGGGAACCUGCCAACCAGCUGCGUUUCAAAGUGGUGCUCCAUGAGAGUCGUGCACACGGACAGGGGGGAGAACACAUCUGCAAAGCGCGGUUGCAAUGCAGGAACAUCUGCUUUAUUGGAAUGUGUGACAUGUUAGUCACAAUGCAUCCUAAACACACUCUCUAAAAACCUCAUGCCCACAGCACAAUUUUGAGAAAAAUCUAAUAUUUUUGUCCUUGAAGACCAUUUCAGAGUUUUUAAUGAGCUGCAGGAACCCUGUUCAGUGUGAGUGGAGAACAGCCAAGUCUCCUCCUCUGAUAAACCUCCACAUGUUCCACUGAAAACAGUUAGAUUAGUUUGAAUGUGAAAUCAUGGCUCAAACUACUUGUUCUGAGACCAUUUCUUCAUUUUUCACACCAAACUGUUUAAUAACACAAACGUUACACAGAGUUCAUCAAAUAUAACUAACGCUUUAACAUUAUCAGGAUUUCAUAAUACAAACUUUAAAUCAACAGGAAAACAGCUGCAGAACAUGUGGAUCAAAAUGAAUUCAUUAAAAAAUAACACGUGGACUUCAAGGAUACAGUAAAUACACUAAAGUGAAAGGAGGAGCCAAAAUUUGAAGUUAUUUGAAUUAAGUAAAAGUCACCUGUGAUCUUUAAAAUGGUCCUGAUGUGUGCUGCUGUUUUUACCUUUCAACAUUUCUUUGCUGCCACUGUGAAUACGAAUGUGUUCUUUCCCCAAUUAAAUAAAGGUUACACUGACUCACUGCUUCAUCUUCUGGCACAAACUGGUAUUAUAUGGAAGCACAGCCCCAAACCAGUUUAGCUUGAGUUUCUUUUUUCUGGACAUAAAGUCACAGCAGGUGUUGUUUCAAAACUGGUGGACAGAUUUAGUUCAUUUUGGAGGUUUUAAAAGCAAAUGCUGUGAAAAUAUUUGCAGUUUUGGGAGAAAAUGAUUUAAGAGAAGGAAUUACCACAGCAAAAGUUUAAAUAUGAAUGAAGGAUAGAAAUUUAACUGAGGUAACACAUAACAUGAAUACUACUACUAAACACUACUGUGUCCUAAGGGAACAAAGAAUAAAAUGUAACAGGGAUAACAUUUUAGAGAAUUAAAAUCCCUCAAAGGAAAAAACAUAAACUUGAUAUGCAUAUCUAUACAUGCAGCUUCCUAAAUGUAACAUUCAGGUUUAUUCACUGCAGGUCCAGAAAUCAGAGCUACCUCAUCAGAUCCAAGUGUGACAUCAGCUGACACUCUUUACAGGAGAUUCCAUCUGAACUCUGUGGAGCCUGAUCUCAAGGUUUUUAAGUCUGACCCUGAAACCAGAAGAGGA